AGAGUUUGAUCAUGGCUCAGAGUGAACGCUGGCGGCGUGCUUAACACAUGCAAGUCGAACGAGAACGGAUUAUAGCUUGCUAUAAUUGUCAGCUAAGUGGCGCACGGGUGAGUAAUGUAUAGAUAACCUGCCCUCAAGAAAGGAAUAACAGUUGGAAACGACUGCUAAUGCCCUAUAUGCCUUUAAUACAUAAGUAUGCAAGGGAAACGCUUUAGUGCUUGAGGAUGGGUCUGUAUGGUAUCAGUUAGUUGGUGAGGUAAUGGCUCACCAAGACUAUGACGCCUAACUGGUUUGAGAGGAUGAUCAGUCACACUGGAACUGAGACACGGUCCAGACUCCUACGGGAGGCAGCAGUGGGGAAUAUUGCACAAUGGACGAAAGUCUGAUGCAGCAACGCCGCGUGGAGGAUGACACAUUUCGGUGCGUAAACUCCUUUUAUAUAGGAAGAUAAUGACGGUACUAUAUGAAUAAGCACCGGCUAACUCCGUGCCAGCAGCCGCGGUAAUACGGAGGGUGCAAGCGUUACUCGGAAUCACUGGGCGUAAAGAGCGUGUAGGCGGAUAUAUAAGUCAGAAGUGAAAUCCAAUAGCUUAACUAUUGAACUGCUUUUGAAACUGUGUAUCUAGAAUGUGGGAGUGGUAGAUGGAAUUUCUGGUGUAGGGGUAAAAUCCGUAGAGAUCAGAAGGAAUACCGAUUGCGAAGGCGAUCUACUGGAACAUUAUUGACGCUGAGACGCGAAAGCGUGGGGAGCAAACAGGAUUAGAUACCCUGGUAGUCCACGCCCUAAACGAUGCACACUAGUUGUUGUGAGGCUAGACCUUGCAGUAAUGCAGU
rnacentral:rRNA from 1 species